AGCGGGACAUCAGAAGGUUUACUUGAUAUGAUACUUAUGAUAACCGUUGACUUCCUUAAUGAAUCGAGUGUUGUUGUUUUAAUUUGUUUUAAAUAUUAAACAAUUUGCCAAGAAUUUGUUUUCCCUACAUUGAUUACAAUCUCUAUCAUCAUCUAAACCAUCAUUACCGUCCUACACAGACUUGCAAAUAACCAGCAAACCAUUAACUGAGAAACAUUCAAAAAAUCAACAAAAUAUUAGACAACAAUGUGAGUCAAACAAAAGUCUUGUCAUUCUGUGCUGCUAACCAUUACAAGUUGUUGACAGAGAUUAACAUCUUUACAUCUCGUUGGCUUCGAUGUGUUUCACUUUCUUCAACCAACCACAACAAUUUAUUUAACUGAAAUUCUCGUCAUAUAAUGUUUCAUAGUUCCCAAAGAAAGAUAUUUUAACUCAACAUGGAAUAACUUCAACCAAUGUGAUGCCAUUUGUAAUUUGGAUAUAAACAUUUCUUUUGUUCCAACUUUAACAUUCAAUUGACUAGAUCUAUGCGUUGACUUGGGAUCUUUUGUCCAGAUUUACCUUUCUUCUGCUCCUAAACCAACACAAGAAGCUUUUUAAAUUAUCCAGAUCUAGCCUUAAUUUCACCAGGUGACUUAGUUUUCUAUAGCCAAGGAUGGUAUCAUCAUUUAUUAUCGUCCAAUAUUUUCUGGUUAUCUCUCAUCUUCAUUAAUAUUUUUCGACUUACAAGCGUUGGUAUCAUGAUUCAUGAUCUUUUAAGCUAUACCUGAGGAAUGUAUUCUCUUGAAAGCGAGUUGAUACUGAUCAUUUUACCGUGGAGCAGCUUUUAAAAAUGGAGCAACUAAUGUAAAUGCAUUCUUCAGUUCUUUAUGGAUAUUUUGCCCGCACUCUGUUUUCAAAAUUGGUUAUUGAUUAGCACACAAUUACAACCAUUUACCUGUCCAUCAUCGAUGAGCCCUUUCUCGUUUUACCCUGCAAAAUAUGAUUUCCUAAUCAAUUUGGUUACAAGUUUCCCCUGGUCCCUUUUGUUAACCAGUACUGCAGAAAUGGAAAAUCAAAAUAUUAAAAUAUUUUGACAUUAAAUUAAAUGAUAUUGGUAACCUGGCGUGAUGUAUGAUUCUUUGGUGGCAACGAUCUCAUCAAAUUCCGUUUUGAAGGAAGCUCAUAAAAUUCAUUGGAGUAUGAUCAUAUCAUGGAAAAAAAUGCUGAAAAGAUACAACUCGUUUACAAAUUAGCUUUAUUUCAUCAAAACUACCAUCUUAUCAAAGAAAAUUCAUGUUUUUGAAGUUGAUUAACUGGGAGAGAUGACGAGAAGGAAAAUAAAGUAAAAUCAAUUAAAAAGUCGUUGAAUAGCUGAACAGGAAGAAAUGCAAUAACACAAUAAGCAGCAAUUAUGGAUAUCAUUUCUCAUCAUUGACUGACGACAAAUUUUACAAGCUAAUCAAAAUGAUCAGUCUUUACACUUUUCUUUCCAGUCUAAAUUUAUAUCUUUAAACCUGACAAGCCUCAAAUGUACAAUGAAGGAUCCAAAGUUGAGAUUAGAAGUUUUUCCCUGGAUAAAUCACUGGAAAUUUGGUUUUAAUAGAGAGGAAGAACCAUAAAACAUGGCACUGUUGAAAUGGAAAUUCAUGUUUAUUUGACUCAAUGAAAUGUGGAUCGAUGAAAAUUUAAAUCAAGAUAGUGUUGGUUGAAUUGAAACUAACCCAAUUUAUCCAGAAUUUAUGUUUCUUAGUAAAUCUUUGCCCUGGUAAUAAAAUAACAACAAAAUGUGUUUCAAGCUUUCCGCAUUAACCAAGAUAAAAGUUGGAGGACGAUUAAAACUGUCGACUGUGAAUGUAUUCAAUUCAUGGGAAGAGAAAGCAAAGAAAAAAGAGAAUCCAGUUGAACAAACCAUACUCAGUUUCUUGACCUGAUAUUUUAUAGCAGAUAAAAUAAGGAAUAUUAUGAUUAUUGUUUCCCGGUUAAGGCUCCUGUUGGAAUUAAAUGGCUGAAUUGAUUCCCUUUUGGACGAAUAUGUAAACCUUUAUAACAAUAAGUGCCAUAACGAUAAACAGUUAUGUUGGAUAUUAUUUUUAUACUUUUACUGUGCUCAGCUUUGUGCUUAUGCAUACAUUUUGGUUACUGGAACCAAGAAAAAAAAGAGUCUAAAGUAACCUUAAUCUUUAGAGUAUAACUUUAUUGGCCGAUUCUGAUUCACAUCAUCAUCAACAAUCAUCAGGCUUUUAUUAUUAUUCCUAGUAUUGAUUCCUGGUAACAUUUUGAUCAGCGUUGCAUCUCUUUUUUUAUUUGUGACUAUUUAAUUGCCUUCUCUCAGUUAAUUUAUUUAUUCUCUUUAUUACCUUUCUACUAUUCUAGCUGUUUAACAAUAUCUAAUGAUAACUUAUGUUGUUGAUCGGACUUUGGUUUGACCCUUACAAUUGCAUUUUGGUCUUAUAUUACAAUACAAUUUAUUAUCUUUCCCACAAAGUCAAACUGCUCCAUUUCACUGCAAACCCAUAGAGUGUGUUUCACAGGAGAGGAAAACCGUUAACAGUUAACCAUUAAUAUUGCCCUGCAACUGUAUUGGGUCAACAUUGGUGAUUGGUACAAUUUAAUUAUCGAUAUUAAUCAGUUUGUUGCCAAAUCAGACAUCCUUGCCAAUAACCAGUGAUUCAAUAGUUUCUGGUGAAAACAUGAAAACUAGAAUCAGUUUAACCUUAUUUUUUAAACUGAAGCAGAAACAAAUCUCAACCUUGAUUUGAUUUCAAUACUUUCAAUCAACUAUUAUUAAAUAGUAUUAGGGUGAA